GACGAACGCUGGCGGCGUGCUUAACACCUGCAAGUCGAACGAUGAAGCUGGAGCUUGCCCCGGUGGAUUAGUGGCGAACGGGUGAGUAACACGUGAGCAAUCUGCCCUUGACUCUGGGAUAACUGCGGGAAGCUGUAGCUAAUACCGGAUACUUUCACUAGAAGGCAUCUGCUGGUGAAGAAAGAAUCUCGGUGAAGGAUGAGCUCGCGGCCUAUCAGCUUGUUGGUGGGGUAACGGCUCACCAAGGCGACGACGGGUAGCCGGCCUGUGAGGGUGACCGGCCACACUGGGACUGAGACACGGCCCAGACUCCUACGGGAGGCAGCAGUGGGGAAUAUUGCACAAUGGGCGCAAGCCUGAUGCAGCAACGCCGCGUGAGGGAUGAAGGCCUUCGGGUUGUAAACCUCUUUUAGCAGGGAAGAAGCGAAAGUGACGGUACCUGCAGAAAAAGCACCGGCUAACUACGUGCCAGCCGCCGCCGUAA
rnacentral:rRNA from 1 species